UACAGAGGGUGCGAGCGUUAAUCGGAAUUACUGGGCGUAAAGGGCGCGUAGGCGGCCUUCUAAGUCGAACGUGAAAUCCCCGGGCUCAACCCGGGAACUGCGUCCGAUACUGGGAGGCUUGAAUCCGGGAGAGGGAUGUGGAAUUCCAGGUGUAGCGGUGAAAUGCGUAGAUAUCUGGAGGAAUACCGGUGGCGAAGGCGGCAUCCUGGACCAUUACUGACGCUGAGGCGCGAAAGCUAGGGGAGCAAACGGG
rnacentral:rRNA from 1 species